AACCGUGGCACGAUGUCACCUGUCAAGUUGCCCAGCAGCUGAUUUCAAGUGUCUGGCCGUCGGGCAUGUUUGGCCGUUUUUGCGCCGUCCUCGGAUUUCUCUUGAACGACCUGUGCGAGGAUGUACGAGAUCGAGUAAUGAUUGGUGCAGGUCAUACUGGAACCCUGCUGCACGUGGUGCAAGCACGAACGGGUCGACAUGGCCCAUGUGCUUUGGGAAUGCCAAUGCCAUGAGGAAGAAGGACAAGGAAGAAGGGGGAAGACAACAGCAGGACCCUCUGAAGCGGGGCGCCUCACUGAGAGAUGGCAAGCCGCCCUCCUCAGUGAGGCACCCGAAGACCAGGAGUGGGCCGUCCAGCGGGCCAGGGCCGUUGCCGAGGAUCUCGAAAGAUUUUCCUUGGGUGAUGGACCCCUGGCAGCCUAGCCCCGGGCACCAACAUCAAUAACCGUUGGACAAAUAAAGUUUAUUCCUAUCCUA